rnacentral:misc_RNA from 1 species
UCUUCUACUUACUGUAGUCUCAGGUAAAAAAAAUAUCAUAAUCCAUAACGUCUCUGUAAAUCACACUACUUUAACCAUAAUUUAGAUUUUUCGAUAAGAACAAAGUGAAAAAAGAAGAUGCCUUUAAGUUUCUGAUUAUUGGGUAUACGUUUUCUUUGAUGUUUUCUGCAGAUUCAAGAUCCAUCAGCUAUCUUCCUUCUCUAUUGGCUACUGCUACAAUGAUGCAC